GAGUCUAGCAUGUGCGCGAGUCAUUGGGACUCUAACGAAACCUAAAGGCGCAAUGAAAGUGAAGGUCCGCCCGGCGCGGACCGAGGGAGGAUGGGCGGCCCCGCGGGACCGCCCCGCACUCCCGGGGCGUCUCGUUCUCAUCGCGAGAAGAGGCGCACCCAGAGCGUACACGCUGGGACCCGAAAGAUGGUGAACUAUGCCUGGUCAGGACGAAGUCAGGGGAAACCCUGAUGGAGGUCCGUAGCGAUUCUGACGUGCAAAUCGAUCGUCGGAACUGGGUAUAGGGGCGAAAGACUAAUCGAACCAUCUAGUAGCUGGUUCCCUCCGAAGUUUCCCUCAGGAUAGCUGGCGCUCGCUUCUCGCGAGUCUCAUUCGGUAAAGCGAAUGAUUAGAGGCAUUGGGGUCGAAACGGCCUCAACCUAUUCUCAAACUUUAAAUGGGUGAGAUCUCCGGCUUGCUUGAACUGUGAAGCCGCGAGAUAUCGGAUCAGAGUGCCAAGUGGGCCACUUUUGGUAAGCAGAACUGGCGCUGUGGGAUGAACCAAACGCAGAGUUAAAGCGCCUAAAUCGACGCUUAUGGGAUACCAUGAAAGGCGUUGGUAACUUAAGACAGCAGGACGGUGGCCAUGGAAGUCGGA
rnacentral:rRNA from 1 species